rnacentral:lncRNA from 10 species
AGUCUGUCAUAUGCCACAGUGGUGUUUUCAUCCUCCCUGUGAGUCUGUCAGGGAAACACUACUGAGCAAAGCCAGCCCAGAGAGUGAGAAACCAUGUGAUUCCUAUCCUUUUUUUCCCCAUGCAAAUGGACUAAAUAGGUGAUCACCUUCAACUAUGGCCUUGUGUUAGGAUGAGUUGUGAAUGCAGCAAGAGAAAAAGAAGGGAGACCAGUUUAACUGGUUUCAAGGUUUGCAGCCCUGAAGUGAACAAGGAUGGAGGAUUGGAUUAGGAUGUUAACAAUGGAGGUGACAUGCCCCCAGAUGAAACCAGAGGCCGCCAACAUUGAAAAGGUGAUGGAAGCAAAAAAACACUUCUAAAAACAGUAAAGACGUUGGUAACUAAGAAGUUUUAAUUAUAACCUUCUGCUCAAAAAA